GCAGGGAGCCCCCGAGUUCCAGAGUUCCAGCUCUUCUGAGGCCUAUCCGCCAGAGAAGACUGCUCUACUCCAGCAUGGGUUUAAGCCAAUAGAAAGUCUUCAUUAGCUGGCUAGCGACUGCUUUGGGUGUCCAGGAUCUCAGUGAGGCACCAAGCCUUUCUCAGGGUGGUGCUGUCUGUGUGUUGAGUGUUCUGGCCUGAAUGGUACUUCCAUCAUGGAGUCAGUUGUGCUAAGGUCUGGGGUCAGUUACAGCUUGCUACCUUGCUCGGAUUUGGAUUACAUAGCUGUCUGUGAAUCAUCCGGGCUUCUCUGAGUAACCCCUCACCCACAGUCCUGAACAGUGUCACACGCAUACCUGUGGCUGAGUCAGAGAGCCUGAGACCCAUCACAGGACCUGGAGGGUGGAGGGAAAGACACCUUGAGAAGAGAAGAGAAAAGAAGAGAAAAGAAGAGAAACAAGAACAGGAAUAUGCAGGGAAGUAUUAUACAGGGCACCCACGGAACCCAGAAGCGACAUCUUCCUGGAACUGGUCUGACAGGCGGUUACCACCCAGCGUGAGCACUGAGAUCUGAAGAAUUAUGGCGUACACCCUUUCCUAACUGUUCUCUCAGAGACUCGGGCUUCUGUAAUUAGCCUCGCCGAGACAUGAAGAGCCUGUUUGUUCACGUUCAUGGCAGAACAGAACACCUCCAGGAGUUGAGUUCAUUCUGCUGUUUAUUUCACUGAGCCUCAUUUCCCGACAGUGCCCCUUCCCCCACCCCUUUCCUACAGAGAAAAGGGAAAUGCCCCAGUAAGUAUCCUGGCGCUCGCUCUCUUGAACACCGUUCCACAGCCUUGGUUAUUCAGAGGAGCAGCCUGUGUUACCUGCAUGCAUUCUUAAGAGGUACUGCUAAGUCCUGCCAAGCAAUCACCUUUGGGAGGACACAUUUUGGUGGGCGCGGUGGCAAAGGAAGGUAGAGGCCUGAGGAUCAGGAGUUCAAAGCCAGCUUCAGCUAUAAGAAGUGUGGGGCCAGACUGAGAUAUAAGCAGCAUUGUCUCAAAGAACAAAGCCAAGAGAAUUGACUCCAUGCCCUAACUACUCGCAUGCUCACGAGCAUCCAGUGUUUUCAGACUUAAGACUUUUUACCUCCUUUUUCUUUUCCUUCCCUUCCCUUCCCUUCCCUUCCCUUCC